rfam:Prevotella oralis ATCC 33269 genomic scaffold SCAFFOLD2, whole genome shotgun sequence.
AAGAAACGAGAUAAGGGCGUAUGGCGGAUGCCUAUGCUCACGGAGGCGAUGAAGGACGUGAUAAGCUGCGAUAAGCCGCGGGUAGAUGCAAAUGCUCUUUGAUCCGCGGAUUUCCGAAUGGGACAACCCGGCCGUCGGAAGGACGGUCAUCGUUAUGUUUUAUUAACGAGGCGAACCGAGGGAACUGAAACAUCUUAGUACCUCGAGGAAAAUAAAAUAAAAUAAUGAUUCCCCCAGUAGUGGCGAGCGACCGGGGAAUAGCCCAAACCACCUGCGUGGCAACGCGCAGUUGGGGUUGUAGGAGCGCGAUAUUGUACAUUUGAUUGUGAGAAGAAUCCUCUGGAAAGAGGUGCCAUAGAGGGUGAUAGCCCCGUAUUCGAAGCAUGAUUAGACAUAGCGUCAUCCUGAGUAGUGCGGGACACGAGUAAUCCUGUGCGAAUCCGCCGGGCCCAUCCGGCAAGGCUAAAUACUCCCGUGAGACUGAUAGUGAACCAGUACCGUGAGGGAAAGGUGAAAAGCACUUCCAUUAGAAGGUUGAAAUAGUUCCUGAAACCAUACGCCUACAAGCGGUCGGAGCAUCGUAAGAUGUGACGGCGUGCCUUUUGCAUAAUGAACCUACGAGUUACCGUCACCGGCAAGGUUAAGGGCCAUGAGGCCUGCAGCCGUAGUGAAAGCGAGCCUUAAUAGGGCGAUAUUGUCCUCUUUUGGGGACAGGACGCACUCUGUGCGUAUUAGUCGUUGGUGGUAGACGCGAAACCAAGUGAUCUACACUUGUCCAGGGUGAAGUUCCGGUAACACGGAAUGGAGGCCCGCACCAAUAAGCGUUGAAAAGCUUCUGGAUGAGAUGAGUGUAGGAGUGAAAGGCCAAUCAAACUUGGAGAUAGCUCGUACUCCCCGAAAGGCAUUUAGGUGCCGCGUGCAGUAUUCCGCAUGAGAGGUAGAGCGACCGAUAGGACGCGAGGGCUUCACCGCCUAUCAAGUCCUGAUGAACUCCGAAUGCUCAUGCGCCGCAGCUGUGCAGUAAGGGUGCGGGUGCUAAGGUCCGUGCCCGAGAGGAGAAGAAUCCGGACCGCCGUCUAAGGUCCCCGAGUUCUGCCUGAGUUAGUCUAACGAAGUCCGGUCCCCGUGACAGCUAGGAUGUUGGCUUGGAAGCAGCCAUUCAUUCAAAGAGUGCGUAACAGCUCACUAGUCGAGGGUCUGGGCGUGGAUAAUAAUCGGGUAUAAGGCAGACACCGAAGACGCGGGAUAGCAAUGAAUAUUAAAAGUAUCGGUAGGGGAGCAUUCCAUCGGCGUUGAAUGCAUGGGGCCGACCUGUGCUGGAGCUUAUGGAAAAGCAAAUGUAGGUAUAAGUAACGAUAAGAGGGGUAAGAUUCCCCUCCGCCGAAAGACUAAGGUUUCCCGGGCAAUGCUGGUCAUCCCGGGGUAAGUCGGGUCCUAAGUCUCAGCCGACUGGCGAUGGCGAUGGCAGAAACGGUUAAUAUUCCGUUACUACCUUCAGGUGCGAUGUGGAGACGGAGCAGUGACACGGCCGCGGAGACACGGAAUUCUCCGUUGAAGGACGUAGGUGUUGAUCGGGGCAGGCAAAUCCACCCCGAGAGCCGAUAUCCGAAAGUAUGCCAUUCCCCUCGGGGCGUGGCAAUAGUGCCGGUAAUCAUACUCCCGAGAAAAUCCGCUAAGCUUUCCCCUGAAGGUACCCGUACCGCAAACGGACACACGUAGUCGGGUAGAAUAUACUAAGGCGUUGAGAGAUUCAUGGUUAAGGAACUAGGCAAAUUGACUCCGUAACUUCGGGAUAAGGGGUCCUCACAUUUGUAUGUGAGGCGCAGAGAAUAGGUCCAGGCAACUGUUUAACAAAAACACAGGGCUGUGCAAACUCGUAAGAUGACGUAUACAGCCUGACACCUGCCCGGUGCCGGAAGGUUAAGAGGAGAGCUCAUUCCUUUACGGAAGAAGGUUUGAAUUGAAGCCCCGGUAAACGGCGGCCGUAACUAUAACGGUCCUAAGGUAGCGAAAUUCCUUGUCGGGUAAGUUCCGACCUGCACGAAUGGUGUAAUGAUCCGGACACUGUCUCAACCAUGAUCUCAGUGAAAUUGUAGUAUCGGUGAAGAUGCCGAUUACCCGCGAUGGGACGAAAAGACCCCGUGAACCUUUACUACAGCUUAGCAUUGACCUUGGUCAUCCGAUGUGUAGGAUAGGCCGGAGGCUUUGAAUCGGGCGCGCCAGCGUCUGUGGAGCCACCGUUGAAAUACGGCCCUUUGGCUGUCUGAGGUCUAACGCGUUUUUUCGCGGACACUGUUUGGUGGGUAGUUUGACUGGGGUGGUCGCCUCCAAAAGCGUAACGGAGGCUUCCAAAGGUGCCCUCGGGCCGAUUGGUAACCGGCCUACUCAGAGUGCAAUGGCAUAAGGGCGCUUGACUGGGAGGCAGACAUGCCGAUCAGGCAGGAAACUGGGGCAUAGUGAUCCGGUGCAAGUGUAUGGAAACUGCAUCGCUCAAAGGAUAAAAGGUACUCCGGGGAUAACAGGCUGAUCCCCCCCAAGAGCUCAUAUCGACGGGGUGGUUUGGCACCUCGAUGUCGGCUCGUCACAUCCUGGGGCUGGAGAAGGUCCCAAGGGUUGGGCUGUUCGCCCAUUAAAGUGGCACGCGAGCUGGGUUCAGAACGUCGUGAGACAGUUCGGUCUCUAUCUAUCGUGGGCGCAGGAGUUUUGCGUGGAUCCGUCACUAGUACGAGAGGACCGUGACGGACGGACCUCCGGUCUGCCGGUUGUGCCGCCAGGUGCACCGCCGGGUAGCUGCGUCCGGUCGGGAUAAGCGCUGAAAGCAUCUAAGUGCGAAGCCCUCCUCAAGAUUAGAACUCCUUUUUCAGGGCCGUCCCAGACGAGGACGUCGAUAGGGUGCAGGUGUAAAGACGGCGACGUCAAAGCCGAGCGCUACUAAUAGCCCGAACCGUUUUUUUC